CAACGAGUGUGAGGUGAUGCCUAACCUGUGUAAGAACGGCCAGUGCAUCAACAGCGUCGGCUCCUUCCGCUGCCAUUGCAACGUGGGUUACACCGAUGGCUUCACUGGCACUUCCUGUGUCGAUAUGGACGAGUGCUCUCAGUCGCCCAAACCGUGUAACUUCCUGUGCAAAAACACCGAAGGCAGUUACCUGUGCUCGUGUCCCAGAGGAUACAUCCUACAGCCUGAUGGGAAGACCUGCAAAGAUUUGGACGAGUGCUCAACCAAGCAACACAACUGUCAGUUCCUGUGCGUCAACACGAUCGGUGGCUUCACCUGUAAAUGCCCCUCAGGCUUCACACAGCACCAGACGGCAUGCAUAGACAACAACGAAUGCAGCAAUCAGCCAAACCUAUGCGGCUCCCGCGCCUCCUGCCUCAACACCCCCGGCAGCUUCAACUGCGAGUGUCAGAAGGGCUUCUCUCUGGAUGGCACGGGAAUCAACUGUGAUGACGUCGAUGAAUGUGGCGGAAACCACCGGUGCCAACACGGUUGCCAGAACAUGUUGGGAGGAUAUCGUUGCGGAUGUCCGCAGGGUUACGUUCAGCACUACCAGUGGAACCAGUGUGUGGACGAGAACGAAUGUGCCGGGAACCAAGUCUGUGGGUCUGCAUCUUGCUAUAACACUCUGGGCAGCUAUAAGUGCACGUGCCCGUCAGGUUUCGACUUUGAGUCCUCUGCUGGCGGAUGCCAGGAUGUUAAUGAAUGCAACCUGAACAAUAACCCCUGCAGCUAUGGCUGCUCCAACACAGAUGGCGGAUACUUGUGUGGCUGUCCCGGAGGCUUCUACCGAGCAGGACAAGGGCACUGCAUCACAGGAGUGGGCUUCCAGGGUCAGUUUGGCUCAGAGGGAGUGGAUGACGAAGAGUCAUUGUCACCAGAGGCCUGCUAUGAAUGCAAGAUCAACGGUGACCUUGGAAAGAAAGGUCGCCAUAGGCGUAAUACUGGCGAUAAUGAGCUCAAGGAGACGGUGAGCUUGGCCAGCAUGGAUGUUCAGACCUCUAUCCCCAUGAACCUCAGUCUGGCACAGCUGCAAAACAAGGAACCCCUACUUGAGUUGCUUCCAGCCCUGGAGCCGCUUGAGCACCAUGUGCGCUACGUCAUAACGCAUGGAAACCAAGGCAAACACUUCCGCAUCCUGGAGCGUCGCGACGGGAAGAGCGUUCUGCGGCUGGGCCGAAAGCCACCCUCUCCAGGUUUGUACCGCCUGGAGAUCGCCAGCUUGCGUCUGUUCGGUCCGCGCAAACUUCAGCAAAUGGAGGACCAACAUGACAGCGACUACUUGCUGGGCGAGAUCGGCGACGCACUGCGCAUCAAGCUGCACAUCCACCUGCACCGAGACUGACCCUUGACCCCGUGCCCUUCACUGCAGGGCGUAGGCUCUGAGAGACUGUGUCCAUUUACCGCCAUGUUUUGGGUUUGUUUUUAUUUGCCGUCCUUUCAUAAUCAGCCCCCACCGACUCCACCAGGUUGGGUGGAAUAUGUACAUACACCACCUUAAAUUAGCAGGAGUGCGUUAGCACUAGCACCCACUUUUACCAGAGGGACAAUCAGAAAUAUCAGUCGUAAGGACGAUUUAAUUUUAGUACAGCUAUUACAGUUGUAAACUGUCAAAAUUAUCAUGUAAUGACAUUCAGUCUUUAGUGCACAUAAAAACGUUGCAUUAUAGAUGAAGAAAAUAUAAUGACUAUUCACUCAUCUCGAUAUCUCAGUGCAAACUGGGGUCAAAGUUUAUUCCAUUCAGUAUUUAGAGUCAUUUGUCAAGUAUUGUACUGUUUUUGAAGAAAAAAAAAAGGUCACACAAAGGACUGCAGCAAUUUUUCAGGUUUAAACGAGAGUCGAGGGUUCAAAAGGCUUAUGGUUCUCAAAAAUGAAAUGCGUCUUUUUACACAAGAUUUCUGGGACUUUCUGGAGUGUUUGCAUGAGCUGCCACAUCGCGUUACCUCAUUUUACACACAAACACAAGAACACACACAAAUACAUGUAUGGCAGUUAGGACAGGAGUGGUGCUAAAUGCUCAAAAUUUGCACUGGGCCUCCUCUGCGUAUUUCAUCAGGGAAAAUUCAUUCCAAAAAUGGCAACAACUGUCUAAAGGGUUUUCGAAUAUGCAUGCGAUGUUGCACAAACUUGGCAUUUACAUUUGAACCAUUUUCUUCUCCAUACUUGUGUGCUCUUGUCAGUGUAUUUGACAAAGACGUGCUUGGCAAACAGAGCACAUACGAAUGGAGAACUGGAAGCCUGCUGGGUAAACCAACCAGAGGCCAUUUUUGAUUGCAGCUGGAGACGUGCAGUCUCAAUGGUACAUAAGGAUUGUUUGGCAAGCCGUCCUCCAAAACACUCCAGAUAUGGACAUGCAAACACACAUUUUCAACUUUCAAGUGUGGGAACGAUGACAAGCUGACCCUCGUUUCUUAGUUUCUCAGAAACCGCGAGCAAACAAGGUGCUAAGAUUCCAACUUACGCUGUACUACGAACUGAUUUGUGGAUCGCAAUCGUGACAUUUCCAAAGGUCUUUUGUGUUUUAUUUUAUUUUUUAUUUCGUGUGUGAUUGUCUUUUGUACUGUCUCAAUGCUGAAAAAUCAAUACUAUCAAAGCUUGUUGAAAAUUUUAAUUGUAUAUUUUAAAGUGAAAUGUAGUUUUUGUUUGUAUUUCUUCUUCUUUUGUAUUCUCAAGCAUCAAGACUGCCAAACCAAAUAUUUACUUGUACACAUUAGAUAAAUAGCUUUUAAGAGCUGUUGACUUUGUUUUUCCUCAGAAUACGGACAAUUAAUGAUCACCGCGUCCUUAUUUUACUGUCACUGAGCACUAUGUGACAGACGUCACUGUUUACAUGAGCUUGUCCAUCAAUCAUCUAAAUGAAUAAUACUGUAGUUUAUUGCAACGACCAGCAAUAUUGGACUGUUUUCAAAGGCUGUAAACAAAGUGAUUUUGGUGCUAGAAUGACAAAACUGUUUCUUGAACAUCACAGUAACUGCACUGUUUGACAGCCUGAGGUAUAUUUAUGCAUAACCAUUUGUCUAACAUGGGAACUUUGUAUACUUUCAUAUCUUUUGUUUUUGUUGAUGCCACUACAUGUAAAAGAGCGAAUGUGCGUGACUGUACUGUAUGUCAAAAAUCAGUAGCAAACUUGAAAUAGUCAUCAAGCUAGUGUUGAGUUACGAACUUCAGACCAAAGAAAGUGGACCGGGUUGCUCAGGAUGUCGUCCCAUACCAUAAAUCUCAGAGGUGCAUUGAUUAGGGCAUCUGUAUGAAUUUUUUGAGCCAUAAAGAUCCAUGACGGAGAAACCUGAGUACCCCAUACACUGCUAAUGAAUAAUUCCAAAUGCAUUGUUUUUAUACCAUUUUCGAUCCAUCUGUUAGAUCCGAGUGAUCCGCACAAUGUUUGUGAACAUCUGUACGAAACAACAAAUGGCAAUAAAACAACAUGGGUUAUAUUUUUAAACCUUUGUCUUUCUGUUCUCUAUGUGCAAAGGCCAUUUUUAGCCACGUUAAAGAGAUCUAGCGAGUGUAUCCAAGUGGAAGCCUUAAGUGAAUAAACCCAGUUUUAUUUCAGACAAAAGGGAAUUAGGAAAAUAUCCAAUCUACUUACAAAACUCACAAAGCAAUGCAAGCUCCUCUGUUUCUUGGCACAUCAACAUUCUUUGCACAUCCGUCCAAAUGAGAGCUACAAAUUCAAGAUGAUUAGCAAAAAGGGAACUCCAAAUCCGAGUCGGGAUAUAAAAAUAAUGCUUUCGGUCGAUUCUAAACCUCUCUUAGAUCACAACGGUUUCAGAGAGCUCGGCAGAUUAGCAAACAGAUAACCAAUGACAUGAACACCCUCGAGAUAUGAGAACAUAUGGCUUAUAUACACAUAGUCAAAGGACAGGAAAGAGUCAAACAGCAAUAAUACAAUGACUGACACUCAGUUCCGAAGUCUUAAAGGGAUUUUUGCUCCAAAUCCAGAACAUCCUCAGAAAUGUAUAAAGCACAGAGUUUAGAACGGGUCUGUCGAAGGCAGCAGGUAUGUCGGACAUCCUCGGACUUUACAACAAUACUGAAGUUUUCCUUAAAGAUGUAUUUCGCGCAAAAUUACCAUGCUAAAUAGACAAAAAUCAUACUGAAUAGGCCAUAAUCAUGGUAAGAGGCUUAUUUAAUUUUACACAAAUGAAAACGAGGCAAUGAGGGCAGCAAUGACUAAGGAGAACAAAGUGUAAAUUGCUUUCGAAACCCUUUCUUGCGUAGUUUGUUAAAUCCAAAGCAACAAUUUAAUGACAUUUCAGUUAUUUUUACAGUGUAAAUUUUGUGUAAACCAUUUGUUGAAUUCAACGCAACAAUUAACAGAAAGUGACAAUUUAGUGAGUUUACUGAUUUUUACAGUGUAACCUGUUAAAACCAUUUGUUGCAUUGAAUGCAACAAAUGUAAAGCGACAAUUUAACAUCAGUUUUGUGAUUUUUACAUUGUAAAUUUUGUUAAAACCAUUUGUUGCAUUCAAUGCAACAAUUAACGUAAAGUGACAAUUUAAUGACAGUUCAGUGAUUUUUAGUGUAAAUUUUGUGAAACACCAUUUGCUGCAUUCACUGAAACAAUUAACUUAAAGUGACAAUUUAGUGACAGUUUACAGAGUUUCAUGGUUUAAAUUGUUAAAACCAUUUGUUGCCUUCAAUGUAACAUUCAACAAAGUGACAUUUUAGUGAGUUUUAUGAUUUGUAUGGUAUAAAUUAAUCAUAAAACAAUUUAUUGCAUUCAAUGCAAGAAUUAACAAAGCGACAAUUUAACAUCAGUUUAGUGAUUUUUUCAGUAUAAAUUUUUUGUUAAAUCCAUUUGUUGAAUUCAACUGUGUAAAUUGUUCGUCAAACCAUUUGUUAAUUUACACACAAAUUUAAGGUCCAAUAUGUCUCAAGUUUCUAGGUCAUGUCAUCGUCUAGUUUUUUUUUUUUUUUUUACGCAAAUUGUAAUGCAUAUUUUACCAUUUUUUUUGCAAAGCCAUGUUUCCAGUGUUUCGGUGGCUGAACAACUGACAUUAAUUUACAGCAACAAUCGACUUACUGACAUCUAUCCAUCACAGCCUCAUUUUCAGUUGCGUUAAAUUAAAAUAUGCCAUCUACAUAGGUUCAUUGAAGAGUUUCAUCAUGUCUUUUACAAUUAAGAUAUAUCUACAGUAACGAUGAAGUAUGUACAGUAGCCGAAGGGUAGUAACAGUUCACAGUGAGCAUUGUGUUGGUCACCUUGAACCGUCGACUUCAUGUGUUUAUUCGUUGUAGACCUUGUAGACCGUCCUGAGGAAGUAGCUACAGCGGAAGAAAUGGACGACCCUGUUAAUUCGGUUACGUUUACGCCCAAAGUACAUUUCCAGGUAUACAUGGCACGUGCGUUCCCUGGGAAUCGAACCCAUGAUGGUUUAAGCGCAAUUAGCUACAGGGUUGGAGUCGGGCCACACGUUGGGCUAAGGCAGGUGGCGUCUCAAGGUCACGUGACUACACCAGGGCGUAGUCAAACUGGCCCCGCUCGAAGCCAUCCUUGUGAUCGGUCCAAGAUGAAGCGGGCAUUCGGCUGUAGGGGUCGAGCAAGAUCCGGAAGCAACGCACCAACAGGAAAAUCAAAAACAGCAUCAGGAGACCCACGAACGCAAAGGCUGUCCUUUGCUCGGCGUCGCCACCAAGAGGUGGGCUGCUGGGGACCCCGGCGAAUGACAGCCCCGGCGAGAGCAGCUCAUAGUCCAAUGUGGACACAUCGCUCAUCCUCCAGGGAGGGCGACGACAGAACUUGCAAGCUGUCGUGAGAGUGGGUUGGAUGGAGAGAUUGGUGCGGCGACCUCGAUGUGAACAAACAAGGCCAAAGUCGACACUUUUGACCGCGUGACGGACACGCAAAGUGACACAAGUGGAGCAAUCCGGGACCAAGCGGGGUCAAAGUGACAGGCUUUUUUAUUCCAGACCUGUCAAAUCGGAUCUGACCCACAAGUGGCGCGGCGCAAGCCGAUGGGACAUGACACAACGGGCUGCCACAACGGAUAAAAACAGCAAGGACUGGAGUCACACGCUCGUUUCUUUUGGCUGCAGGGAUGAGGCUAAUUGGUUCCAGAUGGGACACGGUUUGCAGGUGUUGACCCUACGUUGGGCACCAGUUUACCGUUCGCCCCACGGCAAGUAUCCCAUUUCUGGC